rnacentral:rRNA from 1 species
GCAGUCGAGCGGACAGAAGGGAGCUUGCUCCCGGAUGUUAGCGGCGGACGGGUGAGUAACACGUGGGUAACCUGCCUGUAAGACUGGGAUAACUCCGGGAAACCGGAGCUAAUACCGGAUAGUUCCUUGAACCGCAUGGUUCAAGGAUGAAAGACGGUUUCGGCUGUCACUUACAGAUGGACCCGCGGCGCAUUAGCUAGUUGGUGAGGUAACGGCUCACCAAGGCGACGAUGCGUAGCCGACCUGAGAGGGUGAUCGGCCACACUGGGACUGAGACACGGCCCAGACUCCUACGGGAGGCAGCAGUAGGGAAUCUUCCGCAAUGGACGAAAGUCUGACGGAGCAACGCCGCGUGAGUGAUGAAGGUUUUCGGAUCGUAAAGCUCUGUUGUUAGGGAAGAACAAGUGCAAGAGUAACUGCUUGCACCUUGACGGUACCUAACCAGAAAGCCACGGCUAACUACGUGCCAGCAGCCGCGGUAAUACGUAGGUGGCAAGCGUUGUCCGGAAUUAUUGGGCGUAAAGGGCUCGCAGGCGGUUUCUUAAGUCUGAUGUGAAAGCCCCCGGCUCAACCGGGGAGGGUCAUUGGAAACUGGGAAACUUGAGUGCAGAAGAGGAGAGUGGAAUUCCACGUGUAGCGGUGAAAUGCGUAGAGAUGUGGAGGAACACCAGUGGCGAAGGCGACUCUCUGGUCUGUAACUGACGCUGAGGAGCGAAAGCGUGGGGAGCGAACAGGAUUAGAAACCCUGGUAGUCCACGGCCGUAGACAAUCGAGUGCUGUAGUAUUAAGAGGUUUUCCGCCCCUUUCGGGCUCCUGCUUA